GACAGGGCUCCUGCGGUCAUUUGCAGGGCCCUGGAACAUCACUUGCUGAUGCAGGAGAAGCCACAAGACUAUGAACUGGGACAAAUCAUCUCCCAACAGCACAAAAUGAAGAUUCCAAAGAAUGCCAACGUCUUUUAUGCGAUGAAGCCACAUGUCAGGAGAGACUUCAUCCUGAGAAAGAGGACCUGUCCUCAGGAUGAAAAGGAUGACUGGAUCCCUCCCCAACCUCCCUCUUAUGAGGCAACUCAGGUGCGACAUCACCGCUGGAACCUGUGGACAAGAAUCUGCUCCUGUCUCUCUGGGCAGUGCUAAAGCAUUGCAUCAUGGAUGAUCAAUGAGAUUGACUUCUAAAAUGUUUACUCAUCAAUUCCAUACAUAAUUGGACCUUAAGUUUUGUUAUUUAAAAUAUGUUUCUGUAUUCUGAUCCAC